UGGGACAAUUUGAUGUAACUACAAGUUCAAAUAGACUUAAAGAGGCUAAUUUUAACCUUUUCAGGAGAGAGGGGAAAAAUACGGCAGAUGGUGAGAUGGUAAAGAUGUGAGCAUAAAACUUCUUAAUGUUGUCAGCUUUAUAUAUAUUGAAGAUACUGAAAGACCCUGGGAUUUGUGGUAAAUGUAAAAAGACUUCUGUUUCAGAGAAAUUGCGCUUCGCUUCAGAUGGAACACAAAGAGGUCAGCGAGGAUUUUGCAAAAACCAGCUGGUUUGAUUUUAACUCAUGACAAACGGUCCCAGACGAAGCCCUCCUUAGGGAAUGUGCCUUUUACUGUAUGUCUUUGUAAAUGAGUCACAGCAGAGCGUCUUAAGACCGGUUUUACGAGGGAGUGAUGACAAUGAUCAUUCCCGGAAUCGCAUUUUUCAAAAUUACAUUUAAAGCCAACAGCUUUGCUCUAGUUUUGUCAGCAAAUAUCAUCAGCAUUUUGUCUUCAUUACACCAAUAUCAUAAGCCACGACUAAUUCCUCUCUACCAACAGAAGCAGCUUGCACACCAAAACAACCCUUCAAAAUUGCCAACACGGGCUUUUUAAAACACCUGCUUCAUCAAAUCUAGCUGCGUUUCUUCCAAACUCAAAUGGUAAUGUUAUCUGAGCUCCCAAGUCAUCCAAGAUCUGCAAGAAAUGCACGCUUUCUAUUUGUUAUGCUGCUUUGGCAGCAGUGGAUGGGUUUCCUGCACCUUAUGAUGGGAAGAUCAAUUCUUCCCAAACCCCAGUAGCUGAGCAUUCUCCAGAGAGCACGGCGUUAUCUUUUAGAUAAGCUAACGUUGGCACAUUCGCACGGCGCUGCAGGUUAAUGCAACUCAAAGUGGAAGUGAGGGGCGGUGGGUGGAUGCAAACGUUGGGGGAUAAACUGGGGAAGUUGCUAGCACUGGGAUGAACUGCUCUGCGAGGAAUGGUUUUUCGUGUAUCCCUUUUGGAGUAAUCUAAUAUUGUUUCUCUUUUCCAUUAUCUUAUUUAAUUUCAAGAUUUUAGCCACCCACAGAAGAAGGGAAAAAGGGUGUGUGUUGGUGCAUCCAGCUAACUCAAUUAAGGCCCAGGGUUUUAGUCCUUUAUGUCGUGAUGGCUCAUUGAUUCGGCCAAUUGGUCCAGUCUACUUAACUUCAGACGCCAGCGAUCUUUCUUUUUUUAUGCAAAAUGCUGAAAAGCACAAUUUGUAACUUGAGAUGGUGGCAACAAUGUGCAAGAUCUGCAUGAAUAGAUAUGGUUAUUUCUGUAGGUCCCUUGACAAAGUGGGAAUGGGAAACAGGCCUGCAGUCAUUUCAGCGGUGAGAUCAAAACAUGGUGUGUAUGUUAAAGAGUCCACGGUUUAAUGGUUUGCAUGGAAUUCCCCUUCACUCACCACUUCCUUUAAGUAACUUUAAAAAGCUAAAGCUAAUUUGAACAUACAGUAUGCAAAUGGAAUAUUUUAAGGUCAAUAAAACACAACAAUAUUAUAGAUUUUACCAACUAAUGUAAACUUUGUUUUGAAUAUUUUAUUGGGUUAAUGCCAAUAAAUCAUAGAGAAUAUGUGUGUGAGACAGAACACCUACUAUCAAGGAAUUAAUGACAAGGCUCUAAACACGUGAUGAGAUAUUAAUUCUCAGGAUUUUUUCCCCUUUAUCAUCUGUGGAAGUAAACUAGUAACUCCUUCAAGAGCUACUUCCAUUUCUAAAUCGUGACAUAAAAUACUGACCCCACGCGGGAUUAAAACCGAAUAAGAGCGAUGCCAUUCGACGCCCUGUAAGGUCACACGGGUGGUUCUGAAGGCCAUGAAGGUUGUCUUGUGCCGCAGGUGUAAAGAGGGGUUGACCAGCAGGAGACGGCAACGGCUCGCGAUGUAUCCUCCCUCCACAGUUUAAGGUGCAGUAAGUGGAUAAGAGGGAUCAACGGUAUCCAAGCCACAACACAGCAGCCGAUCCCGUUAAGCCGAGCCAGGCGCUGUGGCUUCAGAUGGUCUCCUAACACUGACCACCCCUCAGAUGACUGCAUUGAACUGGAACGGACUGUAUUGGAAGGAACACAGACUCAUUCUUCUGCUUCUUAUUGUGUUUCUUCACAGUCCUCCUUUGUCUGUGUUUCUUUGGACACGCCAUUCCUGUAUUUUCAUGUAUUUGGGGAGCAAGAUGUACUUGAUUCAUUUCAGCCAAAUUAGAUCAGAUUAGUCUUUUGUCAUUUAUGCGAGCUUUGCAAAGCAGUCCGCCCUACACCCCCAGGUCAUAGCCUAUCCCUUUUCCACUGAUGCUCCCCCCCCACCCUGUGAUAAUGAUACUCACUCACUGGACUACAUUCAUCCUACUUCACGGGCCACACAGAUGCUUUAUUCAUAACACGUCCAUGUGGCAAAAAUAAUCCUUCCUGGACUCACAGCAAAAAGCCGGAACAGUUAGUUCCUCCGUGUUUUUCAUUAGAAUUGGCUUAAGAGUUCAACAGAAGAUAAAAAUGUUAUUUCAGUGGAUUACUUGUUUCUGGAGUCUGAAGGAGGCUGAAAAACUACGCAGGACCUGAAACAAGAGAUGCAGAAUAUGUGUAUGACUGCUCGCACAACGAUGUCGGAGGGGGACAAAGAGGUGUGGAGGACGCCUCCAAUGGAAUCUAUCCUGCGUCAGCGUGAUAAACACGCAGUUCUAAUCCACCAAUACGUUAGUGCGCAAAAUCGAUUUCUUCUUGAGGAAGGAGAGCAGGGUGAAGAAGGAGCUUCGGUCCUCACUUUCACCUCAGUGCAACAGGGAACGCCAGUUGUGAGCAGCGCUAUGGUAACAGCGGAUUAUCAUCCCUUUCCUAUCUGGGGCUGUGCACUUAAAACCACCGGAUAAAGGAAAGUCACUUUGUGCUGGUUAUGUCGCUGGCUUGUAGGCCACUUAUAUUAUGCCACUUAUAGAUCAUAUAACUAAGAUGUCAGUGAAUGUUUGCCUUUCAUUUCUUUUUACGUCUGGACUUCUGUUUUUUUUUUCUGCUGCAUCCCACUUUAGAUUAAUAAUAGUGCUCUAUAGCCACCUGUUACACACCUGAUCAGCCCUUUCCCUCUCAAUGGGACCAUCAUUCACUAAAUAUAAAUCACUAGAUAUUGAGACCAGAAACACAUGUUCACAAUGUUACUGAGGUAAUAUUUUUUUUUUUUCAUUGUCCCCCUGAUUGCCAGUAGAGAGUCACAUCCACAUUGGCUUCACUGGGCAGAAUGGGUGUUUACCGCUAAAGAGGCUUAUCUAAUGUCGUGAGUGGUUUUAAAAACAGGAAAACAUGGAUCCUCAA